UAGCCAGUCAGCCGCCGCCUCCUCCUCCAAGAAAAAAAAUUAGGGUUCGUGCCUCUCGCCGGCGCCGACACAGGUCCGCCUCAUCUUCGGUGGCGCGGUGGAUCCUGGCAAGGGCCGGCGGGAGGGCUAUGUUUUUUAGUCAUUUUUUUCAAUCUUGUUAGGGUUUGUGUCCUGCUCAGGAAGGCGAGACGGCGGAGGCUCUCUGAAGAUGGAAUAAAGGUCUCCCCGCCCAGCCCCCGUUCCGGCGGUGCGUCUAGCAUCGUUGGUGGGCGUGUGGAGGUAUGUCUCCGGCAGAUCUAUCUUUGAUGGAUUUGCUCGGAUCUCGUCAUCGUUCGUCUACUUUCGUGUGUCUUCGGUUUGGAUCCUUCCAUUCUACGUUAUUUUUCAUCGGCGGCGGUUGCUGUUCUGGGUGCUGGUCCUAUGGGGCCUUAGCACGACGACUUCCCGACCGUCUACUAAAACAAGUUGUGCCCGACUCCGACGAUGGAGGGGCGAUGACGGUGGCACUCCUUCGGCUCGCUUCAGUGCUUGUAGUCGUCGCUUGGUGGUCUACAGAUCUAGAUGUAAUUUUUAUUUUUGGUGUUCGUUGUACUGCC
rnacentral:rRNA from 1 species